UUUUAUGAUCCAUAAAUCCGCCACGGUUUCAAAUGCAACUUUCAGUUCUUACUCAUUUGAUCGCACAGUUACUGACACAUUGGACAUGAUAAAGAGCCCGUGGGACACUGAAUCUUGGAGGUCCACGCGUGAACUCUUUUCUAUAGACUCUUCUAACUCAGGUUAUCCAAUAUCAACAACAACAUACGGUAUUACUAGCCCAUCUAUAGUGAGCGACAUUGAAACAGAACGUAUUUGUCUUGUUCUGGACGAAAGAUCUUUUAAUAGCGCUGGUUUGAAUAUUGAGUCUUAUACUUCUAAGAUCGUGAAUGCAAGGACCUGGUUAAGCAUGUGCUCGUUAGCCGAUGACCGGUUCUGGGGAAUAAAGAGUUCCUCCAUCAGUUCCACCAGCGGCACCGGAAGACCUAAAAGACCGGCAUCGUCACCGAUCAUUUCGACUAGUUUUAAAAAACCGGACAGUAUGAGUAUAUACACGACUAUGUUCUAAUUGCGUUGUCUUAAAAACACGUGAAAAACGAUGUAACAAAGAAGAAAUAAUUGAAACGUAAUAAACUAAUUAAAAUGUAUGUGUUUUCAUUAGUCCUGAAGCCAAAAACCCGUAAGAACACGUGAGUGAAUGUUGACG